GUAACAAGGUUUCCGUAGGUGAACCUGCGGAAGGAUCAUUAAUUAUGUUAAAGCGCCUUACCUUAGGGUUUCCUCUGGGGUAAGUGAUUGCUUCUACACUGUGAAAAUUUGGCUGAGAGACUCAGACUGGUCAUGGGUAGACCUAUCUGGGGUUUGAUCGAUGCCACUCCUGGUUUCAGGAGCACCCUUCAUAAUAAACCUAGAAAUUCAGUAUUAUAAAGUUUAAUAAAAAACAACUUUUAACAAUGGAUCUCUUGGUUCUCGCAUCGAUGAAGAACGUAGCAAAGUGCGAUAACUAGUGUGAAUUGCAUAUUCAGUGAAUCAUCGAGUCUUUGAACGCAGCUUGCACUCUAUGGUUUUUCUAUAGAGUACGCCUGCUUCAGUAUCAUCACAAACCCACACAUAACAUUUGUUUAUGUGGUAAUGGGUCGCAUCGCUGUUUUAUUACAGUGAGCACCUAAAAUGUGUGUGAUUUUCUGUCUGGCUUGCUAGGCAGGAAUAUUACGCUGGUCUCAGGAUCUUUUUCUUUGGUUCGCCCAGGAAGUAAAGUACAAGAGUAUAAUCCAGCAACUUUCAAACUAUGAUCUGAAGUCAGGUGGGAUUACCCGCUGAACCUAAGCAUA
rnacentral:misc_RNA from 1 species